rnacentral:rRNA from 1 species
UGGGGAAUAUUGGACAAUGGGCGCAAGCCUGAUCCAGCCAUGCCGCGUGAGUGAAGAAGGCCUUCGGGUUGUAAAGCUCUUUUACCAGGGACGAUAAUGACGGUACCUGGAGAAUAAGCCCCGGCAAACUUCGUGCCAGCAGCCGCGGUAAUACGAAGGGGGCUAGCGUUGUUCGGAAUUACUGGGCGUAAAGCGCACGUAGGCGGAUUGUUAAGUCAGAGGUGAAAUCUCUGGGCUUAACCCAGAACGGCCAAGUGAUACUGUCGCGCUAGAGUGCAGAAGGGGCAAUCGGAAUUCUUGGUGUAGCGGUGAAAUGCGUAGAUAUCAAGAGGAACACCUGAGGUGAAGACGGGUUGCUGGGCUGACACUGACGCUGAGGCGCGAAAGCCAGGGGAGCAAACGGGAUUAGAUACCCACGUAGUCCCUGAGCGGGCUGGCAAGGCGCAU